rnacentral:rRNA from 1 species
GAUGAACGCUGGCGGCGUGCCUAAUACAUGCAAGUCGAGCGAACGGACGAGAAGCUUGCUUCUCUGAUGUUAGCGGCGGACGGGUGAGUAACACGUGGAUAACCUACCUAUAAGACUGGGAUAACUUCGGGAAACCGUAGCUAAUACCGGAUAAUAUUUUGAACCGCAUGGUUCAAAAGUGAAAGACGGUCUUGCUGUCACUUAUAGAUGGAUCCGCGCUGCAUUAGCUAGUUGGUAAGGUAACGGCUUACCAAGGCAACGAUGCAUAGCCGACCUGAGAGGGUGAUCGGCCACACUGGAACUGAGACACGGUCCAGACUCCUACGGGAGGCAGCAGCAGGGAAUCUUCCGCAAUGGGCGAAAGCCUGACGGGGCAACGCCGCGUGAGUGAUGAAGGUCUUCGGAUCGUAAAACUCUGUUAUUAGGGAAGAACAUAUGUGUAAGUAACUGUGCACAUCUUGACGGUACCUAAUCAGAAAGCCACGGCUAACUACGUG